CGUAGCAGCCUGUGGUUCCCAGUUUGUUGCGGUGGGGAGUGGUCUCCAUAAAUGGGGCAGCAAAAUGAAGCACUUCAUCUUUAUGUUGCCCGUGUAUGGGAUAGUUCAGGUUCAGUCGGCUAUGGAUUUUCCCCGAGCACCAUGGAUGAGAGUUGGGAGGUAGACCGAUCCUAUGACACCUGCCCAGACCCACAUAUGCUGUCCUGCGACAAAGACCCACACCAGGAAGAUGUGGAUGCUGAGAGGCCUGGGGCGUGACUAGCUCGGGCAGGCUAGCAAGCUCCCUUAGAUGCUUUGAUGAUGCCUUCUCAAGAGCUAGUAGGACAUAUCCGUCCCUGCAUCUCCCAAGCCUUUAAGCACGCAAGUACACACCAGGCUUAUAUAUCGAAAACAGAAGAAAGGACAAUGCUACUUCAUUCAUCCAUCUUCUGAUUGCUCAGCCACUAGAGGGCCGUGAGGAGCCUGGUGAAUCUGCCCAGUCCAUCACAGGGCAGAGCGCAGCCUGACCGGCAUGCCAGUCCGUCACAGGGCAGAGCGCAGCCUGACCGGCAUGCCAGUCCAUUACAGGGCAGAGCGCAGCCUGACCGGCAUGCCAGUCCGUCACAGGGUGCACACACACCCACACUCCCUCAUUAUGGGUAAUUCAGAAACGCCAAUGUGCCUGCCUGUGUAAGGGAACCAGAUUAUCCGGAGGAAACCCAAACAGCAUGCAACCAACGGUGGGAUUUAAAACCCCCAACCCCAGAGGAGAAAAUCAGACAUACCCAGCAAUCGUCUUGGAGAACUUCGGGUCUCACUGCCCCGCCUACAUCAUUGGUCUGGCCAUUCCAAGCCUUAAAACGCACAGAAUUCUGGGAAGGUUCUUCAGAAGCACCAGAUCUCCACACUGGCAUAUUCAGGCAGUGGAUGGUAAUGUGCUGUAUGGCCUCAGAACUCAGCAGGUGCAGAAAGUUUAUCUGGACUCGGCCCGCAGCGAUCUCCAACUUCAUGUCCACGAAUAAUGAAAUCAGGCAGCCCAAAAUGUGCAAACAUGGACUCUAAAGCUGUGUUGUGUAGAUGAGCUGUACAGCAAUAGUGCAGGGCAGUUAGAGAGAGAGCCAGACGCACCAUCGUUCUGCCUUUGCUCACAGUCCUUGAGGUCUCGACAGAUACGGGCGGGAUUGUCGUGGGUGCCUGCUGGAUUCUUCAGUCUAUGCACCAGGCCCCAAUUUCAUCCCUACCAAAGCUUCGUACAACCCAAGCACAUAAUUACAGAUAAUGAGCAGUCAUAUCUUUUCAUAAAGAAAUCAUCUGUUAGUUUCUUUGCCAGAUGCGGCUUGCAAUAGGAACACCUCCCCAAAUCCGAACUUGAGAAGAACUGUGGUCCGCUUUCCGUACCGGAAGAUGGACCACAGAUAAGAAGGUUGCUGAAAGACAGUGUAUUUGCAGCCAAAAUGGUGACAGUGGAGAGGCAAGCCUGGGAAGAAUUCAUUGAAGUCGUUGAUGGAUUUCUCGGAAACAAGAAGUCAUCUGACUAUGAGGUUCACGUCAAGGAUAUGAUAUGUCAUUUUCAAGAUCUUGGAUGUAGCAUUUCCUUGAUUACUUUCCUGAAAAUUUGGGUGAGUAUAGUGAGGAGCAAAGUGAGAGAUUUCACCAAGAUACCAAGGACGCUGGAAUGUAAAUAUGAUGGCUGAUUAUUGUACAGACAAAAUCCUGAUGCUUCAUACACAAGAAAAUCAUACCGGUAACAGUUUUGUGGUGCUAAGUGACCAGCAAAGACACUAUGAAUUGUUUCUUUAAUGUAACAUUUGCUAUAAUUUAUGUUGAACUUUAAUUGUAAAUUGUGACAAAACCAGACGUGUGGCGGCAAAUUGGAAGCCAUAUUCUGAAACUACAUAAAAAACUGUAGAACAUGCACUUGAUUUUGUUGAAUCACCUCACAAAAUUUUUUUUAAUGUCGGCCGGUGUUAUUGACAUAUAUCUGUGAUAUAUUUUAGUUUAUGGGCAUCCAUUCAUCUUCCGUAAUUGCGCAUCCAGUAUAGGUUUUAAAGAUACAUUAAGUUUUUAUAUAAAAUCACAUGAUUAAAUAUGUGUGCUUCCAUCACUUUGUAACAAAGUAGUUUUGUUAUUCUGCUUUAUGUAUAUAUGGAGCCUUCAUUUCUACUAGUGGAGAACUACCAACCAACUAUAUAUAAAUAAAAUAAAUAUGUCAGAAAUUGCUUAAAGUAUACAGUACAGCUUCUGCGAGUACUUGCUCUCAUUUUUGUACAGAGGCAUGAUGAGGAGUUUGGGUCUCCUAGCAAAGCUGGCCACUGCAGUAAAGCAGGAUUGCCAAGGCCGCCAGCCACUGACCUGGAUUCAAUUUUGUAUCCUUGUGUAGUUUCAUUUUGUCUUUUAACAUAAAAGAAAUAGAGAAAAGUAGAAAUGUUUUCCCUGAGGGUGGCAUUCUAAAAUUCAUUGGCACCGUAGACACUAACAUUGUUUAAUCCUCAGGGAUAAAAACUUGCCAUCAAACAAAAACCAUUUCAAAAUAAAUGGAACUUUUCAGGCUA